AUUGAACGCUGGCGGCAGGCCUAACACAUGCAAGUCGAGCGAGCGGAGGACGGGUGAGGAAUGUAGGGGGACUGCCCGAUAGAGGGGGAUAACUACUGGAAACGGAAGCUAAUACAGAAUCCUAACGGAUAACCCAUAUGGGAGUAGCUAGUAGGUGAGGUAAUGGCUCACCUAGGCGACGAUACCUAGCUGGUCUGAGAGGAUGAUCAGCCACACUGGGACUGAGACACGGCCCAGACUCCUACGGAGGCAGCAGUGGGGGAUAUUGCACAAUGGGCGCAAGCCUGAUGCAGCCAUUCCGCGUGUAUGAAGAAGGCCCUAGGGUUGUAAAGUACUUUCAGUCGGGAGGCGUUACCGACAGAAGAAGCACCGGCUAACUCCGUGCCAGCAGCCGCGGUAAUAC
rnacentral:rRNA from 1 species